rnacentral:lncRNA from 1 species
UUUCUAAUAGGAAGAGUUUUUCGACACAAUAUCAAUAGCACAAAUGGACUAAAAUGAACUGAAUAUAGACUAAACUUCCUUUGAUACAAAGGAAUGAGGACCUUCUUGCAUCCCUAUUGAGGCUUCCACUCAUCUUCAACUAUAUAAGUAAUUGGAUUAGAAUUUUGAGUUUAUAAAACUAAGACUUCCUCAACAUAACACCAAUACGCACAUAAAUCAACUAGAUGGAUUUAAUCGACAAGAACUUCAAAACCUCUUUCAGAGAAAAGGAAUUAAGAUUCCUGCAUAUCAGCUGAGGCUUCCAUCCACAAUAAUUAGUGAAUGAGGAAUAGUCAAAACCUACACAAAUCAAUUAGGGAGGAUUCAACUGACAAGGACCUUUUAUCCAAAGGCAGUAAGACUUCUGACAAUGUGGCUUCUAUUCCUUAUAUAAGGCAGAAAGAAUGGCAAGACAGCCCUUUAACAGUCAGACAGCAAUAUUGUUCAUACGUUACUUUCAUUCGGAGGGAAAGGCCCUGAUAUAUGUCUUUGUCAGUGUGUUGAGUGUCCAUUUUUCGAAAGUUAAUCAAGUGUUUUUCAAUGAUACGGACGUUUGAUAAAAAGUGAUGGAACGGUAUGGUCGAUGGUCGAUAGUUCUCCUCUCCAUUCACCUCUCAGUCUAGUGUGGCAUCUAUCUACCCCCACCCCCACCCACACUGCUCAUCACGGAGAGGAUGAGGAUCGUGGACAUCCAACGCUGGAUAGAUUAAGGUUUCGGUGAACCCUACUGAGGUCUAGCCGACGCCUCAAAGUAAGUCACUAAUGAAUAUUGUUUCAAAUAGACCCGAGUGGCAAGUUUUUAUAUUUCCAUUUCUAUUUGUAUUUUUGAUUUUUAUUACUUUGGGGCUAAUUUGAUUUUUGCGCCCAAUAAGGUGAGUUACAAACUGUAACUUAGCGCAUUAUUGGGCUCCUCUGGAUGUCCAUUAUCCAAUUUAGUCGUUUCACGUGUUAGGGACCGACGUAUGCAGGCACGGCGCCUGUGACGUCAAACUUUGAUUCUUAUUAUUUAGGUUUUAUGAUUAUUAGCUGCUGGUUUAGGUCCUUUAUACCGUAUUAUAUAACUACUACAUGUACUUGUCGUUUUUUGCUGAACAUAUACUCGAGGAUGGACAACUUUUGAUUAUCUCAUUAAAAUACCUACCUACUUAUCUACCUACAGGGUGUUUUGUCCACGCUGUCAUUAGGGUGUUGUGUUCCACAUACCUAAUACACCUACACCAUGUACUUACACAUAUGUUUACAUGUUUAUUUUAUAUGUGCAUUUAUUUGUCACUCGAUGGGUCUAUUUGAUAUUUUUUUCAGCCAGUGUAGAAGAAGAAGAAGACCUUGUUGCAGAAAUAUUAAAUGUUAGUGUUAAUAAGGUAUAGUGUAUUAUACCUCCUUCUGGCAUGACAGUGGCGGCUCGCGGAUCGGUUCAGAGAUGGCGCCAAGUUAAAAUUAUAAAAGUAUGCAAAUAUGUUGGAAUAAGACUUAAAACUUUGAUGGGCAUUUAAAAUAUUUUCUUUUUAUUUCAGUUAGAUAAUUCAAUUUUUAAUUUUGCAACUAUCUUGUUCCUGUUUAAUGAUUAAUUAUGGAUACCAAUAUAUAAUUAUACUUUUUGAAAAUUGUAGGUUUUUAAGAAUUCAGUAGAAAUGCCAUAAUUAAU